rnacentral:rRNA from 1 species
AUUGAACGCUGGCGGCAGGCCUAACACAUGCAAGUCGAACGAGUGGCGGACGGGUGAGUAAUGUCUGGGAAACUGCCUUAUGGAGGGGGAUAACUACUGGAAACGGUAGCUAAUACCGCAUACCAUCAGAUGUGCCCAGAUGGGAUUAGCUAGUGGGUGGGGUAACGGCUCACCUAGGCGACGAUCCCUAGCUGGUCUGAGAGGAUGACCAGCCAACCUGGAACUGGUAAACGGUCCAGACUCCUACGGGAGGCAGCAGUGGGGAAUAUUGCACAAUGGGGGCAAGCCGGAUGCAGCCAUGCGGAGUGUAGGAAGAAGGCCUUCGGGUUGUAAAGUACUUUCAGCGGGGAGGCGUUACCCGCAGAAGAAGCACCGGCUAACUCCGUGCCAGCAGCCGCGGUAAUUC